rnacentral:sRNA from 1 species
UUUUCUAGGUUCUACUCUCACUCUCAUUCUU